rnacentral:rRNA from 1 species
AACGAACGCUGGCGGCAUGCCUAACACAUGCCAGUCGAACGAGACCUUCGGGUCUAGUGGCGCACGGGUGCGUAACGCGUGAGAACCUGCCCUUAGGUUCGGAAUAACUCCCCGAAAGGGGUGCUAAUACCGGAUAAUGUCUUCGGACCAAAGAUUUAUCGCCUUUGGAUGGGCCCGCGUUGGAUUAGCUAGUUGGUAGGGUAAAAGCCUACCAAGGCGACGAUCCAUAGCUGGUCUGAGAGGAUGAUCAGCCACACUGGGACUGAGACACGGCCCAGACUCCUACGGGAGGCAGCAGUGGGGAAUAUUGGACAAUGGGCGAAAGCCUGAUCCAGCAAUGCCGCGUGAGUGAUGAAGGCCUUAGGGUUGUAAAGCUCUUUUACCCGGGAUGAUAAUGACAGUACCGGGAGAAUAAGCGCCGGCUAACUCCGUG